UCCAGCAUCCAAGAAUCAGCCUGAACCAACGGCAGCUGCCAGGCGACAGCUCAGAGCCCAGUGGGGGUGGUAAAGACCAUUCAGAUAAAGGCUUGGGGAAGAACAAUGGAAAUUGUUCCCGGCAGCACCCAAACCUGGAAAACUCUUUUGGGGCAGAGCUUGGGUGUCUCCUGCCUUGAUCUCAGUGCCAUCUUUCUCCCCUGGCUCCAGAAGUUCCUUCUAUUCUUCCAGAUUUUCCAAAUGCAGACCAAGAGGGAUUGAGCUCUCCUCUACCCUGCCUGGCCCAGAAGUUCCAUUUCCUACCUCCUUCUAGCAGGGGAGCAGGGGCCUUCCUUGGUGGCCCCCAGGAUGGCCCUAUCUCAGAAAGACACAACGACGACUUCUCUGUAUAAUAGACACCACCACACAGGCUUUCUGCCAGCAUUGAGGAGGAACAGGAGCUCUUCUCCAGCCAGGUGAACAUGGCCUCGCUUGGCAAGCUUGCAGUCCUACAUUCCGGUAGGUUACAGGCUGCUUCCAGUAACGCAGGGAGGCUGGGGAAGGAUGAGUUGGGACAUUUUAUUAUGGUGGACUAUCUGAGUGGAAAUGGAUAGCUGAGCCCUCUGAGGACCCGCAGCCUCAUUACCCAGAGGGGAAACCAAGGUUCACGCAGGAGAAGGGGCUUGUCCAAGGUCACUUUUGCAGUCUUGUCUCUAAGAAUAUGGAUUUUGGAGACAGGGAGAUUUGAAUUCUGCCACUUACUAGCUAUAAGAGCCUGAGCAAAUUGCAAGCCCUGAGGCUUAGUUUCUGCAAAUGUUAAUGAGGAAUCACAAUUCUGAUAUUUUAUUGCUAUGAAGAUUAGAGGAAAUGAUAGAUGAAGAGCCUGCUCCUGAGUGGCUGUUCAGGCCUCCAGCCCCAAGUCCCUAGGCAUAGGAUGAUGGGGAAACUGCUGAGAAGGGCCUUCUUGUUUCUCAGGCAACAAAACUGCCAAAGGCUUUAGGAGAGAAUCCUAGUGGGGUUUGGGUUGGGGGAACUCUGAUUUCAAGGAAGUGAGUGGCUUGGGAUCUGGUCCAGCUUUCCCGUCCUUUCCUUUCAUUCAUCUGCUCAUUCAUUCCACAGAUGUGGAUUAAGCAUCCACUCAGGGACAGAUUCUGUCCUGGAUGCUGCUCUAUCAAAGAGAACUAAGACCCAACUGCUCCCCACCCUAAAUGCUCACAGUCCAGUGGAGAAAGAGAGAGAGAGACAAGGCAAAGAGACACUGUCAGAGUGAAAUUGCUGUUAGAGGUGUGUGCAUGACACACGGGGAACCCUGAGGAAGUGGAGCUGCUGAAGAGUCAUGCUUCCUUUUUUUUUUUUUUUUUAACUGCAGAGCACUUUGUUAUGGUUGAGACCUACCUUUCUGUAUAAUUUUAUAACCUGCUAUUUCUUCUUAAAUUUUUUUUAGAAAUGAGGUCUCACUAUGUUGCCCAGGCUGGAGUGCAGUGGCUAUUCACAGGUGCAGUCCCACUGAUCAGCAUGGGAGUUCUGACCUGCUCCGUUUUGGAUCUGGGCUGGUUCACCCCUCCUUGGGCAACCUGGUGGUCCCCCGCUCCUGGGAGGUCACCUUGUUGAUGUCAAACUUAGUGUGGACAUCCAAUCAGCACAGCACACUGAAGCCCAGAACUCCUGAACUCAAGCGAUCCUCCUGCCUCAGCCUCCCAAGUAGCUAGGACUACAGGCACGUGCCACCGCAUCCAGCUAUUAUUAUUUUUAGUUAACAUGUAGUAAUUGUACAUA